rnacentral:misc_RNA from 1 species
GAUGAAGAACGCAGCGAAAUGCGAUAAGUAAUGUGAAUUGCAGAAUUCAGUGAAUCAUCGAGUCUUUGAACGCACAUUGCGCCCCCUGGUAUUCCGGGGGGCAUGCCUGUCCGAGCGUCAUUGCCGCCCUCAAGCACGGCUUGUGUGUUGGGCCCCCGCCCCCCGGCUUCGGGGGGCGGGCCCGAAAGGCAGCGGCGGCACCGCGUCCGGUCCUCGAGCGUAUGGGGCUUCGUCACCCGCUCUGUAGGCCCGGCCGGCGCCCGCCGGCGACCCCAAUCAAUCUUUCCAGGUUGACCUCAGAUCAGGUGGGACUACCCGCUGAACUUAAGCAUAUCAAUAAGCGGAGGA